UACGUAGGGGGCAAGCGUUGUCCGGAUUUAUUGGGCGUAAAGCGCGUGUAGGCGGCUAUGUAGGUCCGCUGUGAAAACUUGAGGCUCAACCUCAAGAGGUCGGUGGAAACCAUCUAGCUAGAGUCCGGAAGAGGAGAAUGGAAUUCCUGGUGUAGCGGUGAAAUGCGCAGAUAUCAGGAAGAACACCCGUGGCGAAGGCGGUUCUCUGGGACGGUACUGACGCUGAGACGCGAAAGCGUGGGGAGCGAACAGG
rnacentral:rRNA from 1 species